CUGUUUUGUUGACAUUCUGAAUUCUGAAUGCUUCUAAGUAAAUACAAUUUUUUUAUUAGUAAAAAAAUGUUCUAAUCCAUCUUUCCAGGAGAUUCUCUCUCCCUUGCUGUCUUUGAAAAAGCAAGUUGCCAUGUGAAGAGGGCCAUAUAGCAUAGGAGCUGAAGGCAGCCUCCAACUGACGGCAAGAAAAUGAGGUCCUCAGUCUGACAACCUGCAAGAAACUGAAUGUUCUAAAAGCCACAUGAGCUUGGGAGCAGAUCUGACCCCAGCCAAAUCUCUGAAGUCCGCAGGCAGGAAAUGAAGAUCAGAAAAAGGCUAUUGUCUCAUGAAUAUGAGCCAGACUCCACAGAAGCUGGAGUCCUUCAUUAUGGAGCUAAACACAUACACCUGGCUUAGGAGUCAGAAAAACUGAAAGAGAAUUCAGGGAAGUAGAGAAAUUGCAAGCCCAGAUGCUGCUUCAUACCAAAGAAGCAAGUCAGCAGGUCAGCAACAAUGUGUAUCAGUUCCAAAAUGACUUACACAGGUACCAAGACAAGACAUUAUAUACACUUAUAUAGUCAAAUACUUUAAAACUGUUAACAAACUUGCUACAAUUGUCUCAUUUGUCUUUUAACCUUAAUAUCACAGAUCAAGUUUGUAAUCUCAAAAGUUCACCCUGGCUGCUGUGUGGAGUAUUCUCUUAUCUGCUCAUAUUACACUGUGCUUAUUCAUUCAUCAGUUAAUGGAAAUUUGGGUUGUUUCCUGAUUUUGACUGUAAUGAAUAAUGUUGCUGUAAACAUUCAUGUACAGUUUUGUGUGGACAUGCUUUUCUUUCUCUUGGGUAGGUUCCUAUGAGUGGAAUCACUAGAUUGUAUGGUAAAUGUAUGUUUAACUUUUAAAGAAACUGUCAAACUGUUUUCUAACAUGAACGGGCCAUUUUACGUUCUUAUCAACAAUAUAUGAUGGUUUCAAUUUUCCCACAUCCUCACCAACAUUUGGUAUUGUCUCUCUUUUACAUCAUAACUAUUUUAGUGGGGAUGUAGUGAUAUCUUAUCGUGGUUUUAAUUUGUGUCUCCCUAAUGACUAAUGAUAUUGUGCAUCUUUGCAUAUGCUUGUUAGCCAUUUAUGUACAUUCUUUAGUGAAAUGGCUAUUCAAAUCUUCUGCCCAUUUAAAAAUCGAGUUGUUUUUCUUAUUAUUCAGUUGUAAGAGUUUUUUCUUUAUUCUGUGCAAAAGUCCUUUAUCAAGUCUAGGAUUUUUGAAUAUUUUCUCAACCUAGAGCUUGUUUUUCAACAUUUUUUUCUUAAUGAUCUUUUGAAGUGCAAAAGUUUGAUUUUGAUGAAGUCUAAUGUAUCACUUCUUCCUUUAACUGUCAUGAUUUUUGUGUCGUAUCUAAGAACUCUUUACCCAACUCAAAGUUACCAAGGUAUUUUCUUCCAGAAGUUUUGCAGUUUUAACUCUUCUAUAUAGGCCUGUGAUCCAUUUUUAAUUCAUUUUUUGCAUAUGAUGUGAGAGAAGGGCCUAAGUUCAUAUUCGUACAUGUGGAUGUACAAUGGUUCCAGGAUCACUUGCUGAGAAAAGACUAUCCUUUCCCCAUUGAUUUUUUUGGCACCUGUGUCAAAAAUCAAUUGACCAUAAAUGCAAGCGUUUAUAUCUGAACUCUCAGUUCUUCUCCAUUCAUCUCUAAGGAUAUGUCUAUGCUUACAUCAAUAUCACAGUGUAUUCAUGUGGCUUUGUAGUAAAUUUUGAAAUUGGGUGAUAGAAGUCUUUCAAUUUUGUUCUUAGUUUUCAGAAUAGUUUUGGCUGUACUUUGCAUUUUGAUACAAAUUUUAGGAUGUAUGUGUGAAGUUUUACAAAAAUGCUUGCUGGAGUUUUGAUAGGAAUUGUGUUGAACCUAUAGAUCUAUUUGAGGGGGGAAUUGCCAUCUUGACAAGCUUGAGUCUUCCAAUCCAUGGACAGGGAAUGUCUCCAUUUAUUUAAAUCUUCAUUAAUUUUUCUUAGUAACGUUUCACAAUUUUUAGCGUACAAGUCUUAAACUUUUAUUACAUUUAUUUCUGUUUAUUCUUUUUGAGGCUUUGUGAAUAGAAUUUUUUUAAUUUUAUUUUUUGGGCUUGACAUUGCUGAUAUAUACAAAUACAAUAGAUUUUUAAAAUACUGAUCUUAGAUCCUGCAGCUUUGCUAAAUUCUUCGAUUAGUUCUAGAUAUUUUGUGUAUAGAUUCCUUGGUGUUUUCUAUACGCAAGAUUAUGCCAUCUGCAAAUAGAAGCAGUUUUAAUUCUUCCUUUACUCUCAGUCUGCUUUUAAUGAGCUAUUAUGUCUUCUGUUCUGUAUUGGUCAAACCCUCACCUGGAUCACAGUAUUUAUUACUGACCAUCACAGUUUCCUUGAGGAAAUGAAAAAAAUUAAAAAGAUAAAGUAACUAUUACCAUAAUCCCUACAUUCGGACACAAUAUUUAUGAGCAUGUGGGGUAAAUUCUUCCAGACACUCUUGCUAGAGGACGUGUAGCAG
rnacentral:lncRNA from 10 species